GACGAACGCUGGCGGCGUGCUUAACACAUGCAAGUCGAACGAAGCAUUUAUCGUGAAUCCUUCGGGAGGAAUGAUUUAUGACUGAGUGGCGGACGGGUGAGUAACGCGUGAGCAACCUGCCCAUAAGAGGGGGACAACACUGGGAAACCGGUGCUAAUACCGCAUAAGACCACGGUAUCGCAUGAUACAGAGGUCAAAGAUUUAUCGCUUAUGGAUGGGCUCGCGUCCCAUUAGCUAGUUGGUAGGGUAAGAGCCUACCAAGGCAACGAUGGGUAGCCGACCUGAGAGGGUGAUCGGCCACACUGGAACUGAGACACGGUCCAGACUCCUACGGGAGGCAGCAGUGGGGAAUAUUGGGCAAUGGGGGAAACCCUGACCCAGCAACGCCGCGUGAGGGAAGAAGGUUCUCGGAUUGUAAACCUCUGUCCUUAGGGACGAAAAAAAUGACGGUACCUAAGGAGGAAGCCCCGGCUAACUACGUGCCAGCCGCCGCCGUAACAC
rnacentral:rRNA from 1 species